UGGCUCAGGAUGAACGCUGGCGGCGUGCCUAAUACAUGCAAGUCGAACGAAUCUCUUUUAGAGAUGAGUGGCGAACGGGUGAGUAAUACAUAGGUAACCUGCCCCUGUGCGGGGGAUAACAGGAGGAAACUCCUGCUAAUACCGCAUAGCCAUGAGCACCGCAUGGAGCUCAUGCCAAAUAUCCUUUAUGGGAUAGCGCAGGGAUGGACCUAUGGCGCAUUAGCUGGUUGGCGGGGCAACGGCCCACCAAGGCAACGAUGCGUAGCCGGCCUGAGAGGGCGGACGGCCACAUUGGGACUGAGACACGGCCCAGACUCCUACGGGAGGCAGCAGUAGGGAAUUUUCGGCAAUGGGGGAAACCCUGACCGAGCAACGCCGCGUGAGCGAAGAAGGCCUUCGGGUCGUAAAGCUCUGUUGUAAAGGAAGAACGGCGCAUACAGGAAAUGGUAUGCGAGUGACGGUACUUUACCAGAAAGCCACGGCUAACUACGUGCCAGCAGCCGCGGUAAUACGUAGGUGGCGAGCGUUAUCCGGAAUCAUUGGGCGUAAAGAGGGAGCAGGCGGCCGCAAGGGUCUGUGGUGAAAGCCCGAAGCUAAACUUCGGUAAGCCAUGGAAACCGGGCGGCUAGAGUGCGGAAGAGGAUCGUGGAAUUCCAUGUGUAGCGGUGAAAUGCGUAGAUAUAUGGAGGAACACCAGUGGCGAAGGCGACGGUCUGGGCCGCAACUGACGCUCAUUCCCGAAAGCGUGGGGAGCAAAUAGGAUUAGAUACCCUAGUAGUCCACGCCGUAAACGAUGGUCACUAAGUGUCGGGGGUCAAACCCCGGUGCUGCAGUCAACGCAAUAAGUGACCCGCCUGAGUAGUACGUUCGCAAGAAUGAAACUCAAAGGAAUUGACGGAAGGGCG
rnacentral:rRNA from 1 species